UACGUAGGGUGCGAGCGUUAAUCGGAAUUACUGGGCGUAAAGCGUGCGCAGGCGGUUUUGAAAGACAGGCGUGAAAUCCCCGGGCUCAACCUGGGAACUGCGCUUGUGACUUCAAGACUAGAGUACGGCAGAGGGGGGUAGAAUUCCACGUGUAGCAGUGAAAUGCGUAGAUAUCUGGAGGAACACCGGUGGCGAAGGCGGCAUCCUGGACCGGUAUUGACGCUGAGGCGCGAAAGCUAGGGGAGCAAACGGG
rnacentral:rRNA from 1 species